AUUGAACGCUGGCGGAAUGCUUUACACAUGCAAGUCGAACGGCAGCACGGGAGCUUGCUCCUGGUGGCGAGUGGCGAACGGGUGAGUAAUGCGUCGGAACGUGCCGAGUAAUGGGGAAUAACGCAGCGAAAGUUGUGCUAAUACCGCAUACGCCCUGAGGGGGAAAGUGGGGGAUCGCAAGACCUCACGUUAUUCGAGCGGCCGACGUCUGAUUAGCUAGUUGGUGGGGUAAAGGCCUACCAAGGCGACGAUCAGUAGCGGGUCUGAGAGGAUGAUCCGCCACACUGGGACUGAGACACGGCCCAGACUCCUACGGGAGGCAGCAGUGGGGAAUUUUGGACAAUGGGGGCAACCCUGAUCCAGCCAUUCCGCGUGAGUGAAGAAGGCCUGGUUGUAAGACGUCUUCUAGCU
rnacentral:rRNA from 1 species